rnacentral:rRNA from 1 species
UAGUGUGUCGAUGAAGAGCGCAGCCAACUGUGUGAAUUAAUGUGAACUGCAUACUGCUUUGAACAUCGACAUCUUGAACGC